rnacentral:rRNA from 1 species
UAGAGUUUGAUCCUGGCUCAGAUUGAACGCUGGCGGCAGGCCUAACACAUGCAAGUCGAACGGUAACAGGAAACAGCUUGCUGUUUCGCUGACGAGUGGCGGACGGGUGAGUAAUGUCUGGGAAACUGCCUGAUGGAGGGGGAUAACUACUGGAAACGGUAGCUAAUACCGCAUAACGUCGCAAGACCAAAGAGGGGGACCCUCGGGCCUCUUGCCAUCGGAUGUGCCCAGAUGGGAUUAGCUUGUUGGUGGGGUAACGGCUCACCAAGGCGACGAUCCCUAGCUGGUCUGAGAGGAUGACCAGCCACACUGGAACUGAGACACGGUCCAGACUCCUACGGGAGGCAGCAG